rnacentral:pre_miRNA from 1 species
UUUCUACUCCCUCCGUUCGGAAUUACUUGUCGCGAAAAUGGAUGUAUCUAGAACUAAAAUACGUCUAGAUACAUCCAUUUCUACGACAAGUAAUUCCGAACGGAGGGAGUAGUAA